CAAGUCGGGGUGGGUAGGUAUGUCCUCGGGCUUUGGGUUCGAGGGAGUCAACUCUCUUGAAGCGUAGGGACUGCUGGGGGACAGCUGUGGAAACGUAAGCAGGGAUGGCAACGAGGCUGGGAUGCUUGCGAGCGCGGGUUAUAAGCGCGGGAAUCGCGCGUCAUUCCCCUGCCUCCCCCGCCGAGUUCCGGGAUGGUCGACGCCAGCAGCGCGCGAGGCUUGAAGAACAGGACGUGGCGCGCCUCUGUCAGGCAGCUUCCCGUUAGCGCGGCCCUAUGGAUUCUCAGCGGGCUGAGGCCCGCGCUUUGGAAGCCGAGAUCACCGCUUUGAGGCGGGCGUGCGUGGAGCCGCCGGCGCCCGGGGAAGACACCUCCCGAGUUCGAAAAUCAUUUCGAGAAAUAUACCAAGCAGAUUCUGAAGGAUGGGAAUUGUCAAAAGAUCUGAGAAGUCAUCUUGGACAUUUAGAAUCAGAACUUCAGUUUCUAAGUACGCUUACUGGCAUCAGUAUAAGACAUUACUCCAAGAAGACAGAGGACCUAACGAGCACUGAGAUGACAGAAAAGAGUAUAAAGAAAGUUCUGCAGAGACACAGAUUAUCAGGAGAUUGCCACAUGAUUACGUUUCAACUUGAAUUUCAGCUUCUGGAAAUCCAGAAUGAGGAGAGUUUAUCUUCUGUUAUUACUGACCUCAGCAUAAUAAUGGAACCCACCGAAUAUUCAGAAUUAAGUGAAUUUGUGUCUAGAGCAGAAGAAAGAAGAGAUUUGUUUAUGUUUUUCCGAAGCCUACACUUCUUUGUGGAAUGGUGUGAAUAUCGUAAGCGCACAUUUAAACGUUUCAAGGGACUCUUCCUCACUACUCCACUGCCCCCCGCCCCCAGUAUCAACUUGGCUCAUUUCAUGACUGUCAUCCACAGCUGGACACUAGCUGCCCUUCCCUCCCAGAAUCCUCAUUAUGAAAAGUACCCAGAGGCUGUGCACCUUUCAGAGGGGGCCUCCUCCAGCUGCAUGGGCAUCAGGAGCCCCAGCCGACCAGGGUUUGAACUAGUAAUUGUUUGGAGGAUACAAAUAGAUGAAGAAGGGAAGGUUUUGCCAAAGCUGGAUCUUCUCACCAAAGUGCCACUGCAAGCCCUGGAACUGGACAAGAACGGAGUCAUGGAAACUGCUCCUCUCAGCUUCCGAGCCCUACUGGGCGUGCUGGGCACUGAAGCCACUCUGGAAAGUCUGAUUAAAUCACUUCACACAGAGGCAAGCAACUAGUUCCCGAACACGGAACAACUACACGUAGAAGUAAGAUGCUGCACCUGGAGUUAUGCCCUAUAAAUGUCCCUCCGUGUUUCCUAUCAGAAAGUGGACAAUUCUGUGCCUUCCAAGAAGCAGGACUCCUGGGAAUGUUUAGUUCAAAAGCAUCAGAAAAACAGGUGGCUGGCAGCCAGUGACGAGAUCAUCUUGACCCAGGAACACACAUCAGAAGAUUGUGAAACAUUCUGCAAAACUGUGUGUGGGGUUUGGCACCCUGAAGAUCAAUGCUGAAGAUGCCAUCUAAUCACUGAGAGAAGAUUAUCAGGUUCAUCCUAAAUUCCUAAAAAAGGCAGAGAAGGGACUGAAUAAUGAUGUCCAGGAAAAGAUGCUGCAAAGAGGAAGCAGAACAAUGGAAUGUUGUUUUAAAGGCUUCGAAAUGACUAUAAAGGUUGGCACAUCAGGACCUGGUAAAAGGAGGAAAAAUAAGGCCCACAGGACCCUACAGCUUCUUGGGCCUCUGAGCCAUGAUGGUAGCUUGGGGUUUUCUUUGAGAGAAAGGAAUUUGGACCACAGUAUCCAAGCCCUUGAGAUAUUUUCUUAGAAAAUAAUAGUAAACUUGAGUGAACAAGCUUUUAAAAUUAUUCUCAAUAAUGUCUUUUUGACUGUAUUACAAACUUCUAAAGAGCAAGAGUUAAUAAUCCCCAUGAUAUCAAGUAGGCCUUGGAAAUCGGCCUCUGUUUAAUAAACAUGAUCCUGCCAGAGCCUCUCUAAAUAUAGGGACACCAACUCUCUUGCCAAUCCACAAAACCCUGCUAGACCAAGGACACACGACAUAGUAGCAGGUGCCUCACCUUGCAUCCUGCAGACAAGGAGAGAGUGCGAUCAUGAUGGAGCAGUCUUUCGCAGUCAUGGCGACCCGGUACUGCUGAACCUGCAGGGGAAGGAAAGGUCAGCUCCACAGCAUCGCCACACACACCCUUCCCCACUGGAGAGGUCCAAGAACUGGUCCCAGACCUGGGGGUGGGUUAGGAAGACCCAGUCCCAAAGAGCUCAUUAGAGGCCAGUGCUGCCCUCUGACCUCUCACUGCAGGCAGUGUAUGGACCCUGAUUCCAAAACCUGGGACCUAGGACUUGUCUUUGGCAAGACAAUCACAGCCCACCUUGGAAGAAAAAGCAGUAAGUGGCCUCAGCUAUUGAUGUGCUAGCCACACUGACAGCACUGAGCGUAUCACUCUAUACCUCAAGAUAGCGGCACACAGACACACACCAAGGCCCUGUCCCCAGGUCACAUAGCACACUAGAAUGUCAUGCAGCUUCCAUGAAUGACACUGCAAACAGAGGGAUCACCAACUGUGUGUUAACUCACUUCAUCCCCACAGCGACCCCACAGGCAGGCACUGCUAGUGUCCCAGUUUAUGGAUAAGGAAACAGACAUAGAUCGACCUGUCCACUCUGCACUGCUAGGCUAGACUCAAACCCAGGUGUUUUGACUCUGAAGUUCAUGCUCUUAACACUGGGCUACGAGCACAUAUAGAUCUAUGUGUAACGCCUGGAGCAACGUCCACUAGGGCUGCUGACUCAAACAACACAGAAAUGGUUUGUAGGAUCCAACACAUAAAGCCAUGUGUGCGCUCACAUGCGUAUCACAGACAUACACGGAAAGAGCCAAAAGACAGUCACCUCUGUGUACAAUUUGGGGGCAUCUUUCCCCUUUCUUCUUUGAACUUUCAUAUAACAUUUGAAUUUUUUAGAUUG